rnacentral:lncRNA from 1 species
CUAGGUCUUGCGAGUGGCACAUGCAUAGGUUAAUAAAAAUACUUGGAAUAUUUUAAAGGGCAUCAGUAAAGGUUCAGACAAACAGUUACAACUUACAACUUUUACAGAAGUUAUAAGAAAUAUCAGAAACAUGAUCAACGCUCUCAAUACGACUAUAGGUUCACAGAUUUGAACAUGGAGUUCCUAAGGUGCUCAAUAGGAUCACAUUCAUAAGAGUAUUAACCUUAAAUAAACUAUUAUGUACAGGUGAUGUCAAUAAAGAGCUUCUUAUAAGAUUUAAAGACAUGGUUUCAGUUCAGGUGGACAGUAAGGAAAGGGCCUUAAAUAAACUACUAUGUACAGGUAAUGUCAAUAAAGAGCUUCUUAUAAGAUUUAAAGACAUGGUUCCAGUUCAGGUGGACAGUAAGGAAAGGACUGAGUACUAUUUUAAAAUAAAGGCAUGGGAUCAUGNN